AGUGAACGCUGGCGGCAGGCCUAACACAUGCAAGUCGAGCGGCAGCGCGUCCGACCACCCUCGGGUGGUCGGAUGGCGGCGAGCGGCGGACGGGUGAGGAAUGCAUCGGAAUCUGCCUCGUUGUGGGGGAUAACGUAGGGAAACUUACGCUAAUACCGUAUACGACCUACGGGUGAAAGUGGGGGACCUUCGGGCCUCACGCGAUGAGAUGAGCCGAUGCCGGAUUAGCUAGUUGGCGGGGUAAAGGCCCACCAAGGCGACGAUCCGUAGCUGGUCUGAGAGGAUGAUCAGCCACACUGGAACUGAGACACGGUCCAGACUCCUACGGGAGGCAGCAGUGGGGAAUAUUGGACAAUGGGGGCAACCCUGAUCCAGCCAUUCCGCGUGAGUGAAGAAGGCC
rnacentral:rRNA from 1 species